rnacentral:rRNA from 1 species
UGGGGAAUAUUGGACAAUGGGCGAAAGCCUGAUCCAGCCAUGCCGCGUGUGUGAAGAAGGUCUUCGGAUUGUAAAGCACUUUAAGUUGGGAGGAAGGGCAGUAAGCGAAUACCUUGCUGUUUUGACGUUACCGACAGAAUAAGCACCGGCUAACUCUGUGCCAGCAGCCGCGGUAAUACAGAGGGUGCAAGCGUUAAUCGGAAUUACUGGGCGUAAAGCGCGCGUAGGUGGUUCGUUAAGUUGAAUGUGAAAGCCCCGGGCUCAAACUGGGAACUGCAUCCAGAACUGGCAAGCUAGAGUAAGGCAGAGGGUGGUGGAAUUUCCUGUGUAGCGGGGAAAUGCGUAGAUAUAGGAAGGAACACCAGUGGCGAAGGCGACCACCUGGGCUCAAACUGACACUGAAGUGCGAAAGCGUGGGGAGCAAACAGG